UGGGGAAUUUUGGACAAUGGGCGAAAGCCUGAUCCAGCAAUGCCGCGUGUGUGAAGAAGGCCUUCGGGUUGUAAAGCACUUUUGUCCGGAAAGAAAUCCUUGGCUCUAAUACAGUCGGGGGAUGACGGUACCGGAAGAAUAAGCACCGGCUAACUACGUGCCAGCAGCCGCGGUAAUACGUAGGGUGCAAGCGUUAAUCGGAAUUACUGGGCGUAAAGCGUGCGCAGGCGGUUUGCUAAGACCGAUGUGAAAUCCCCGGGCUCAACCUGGGAACUGCAUUGGUGACUGGCAGGCUAGAGUAUGGCAGAGGUGGGUAGAAUUUCCCACGUGUAGCAGUGAAAUGCGUAGAGAUGUGGAGGAAUACCGAUGGCGAAGGCAGCCCCCCUGGGCCAAUACUGACGCUCAUGCACGAAAGCGUGGGGAGCAAACAGGAUUAGAUACCCUGGUAGUCCACGCCCUAAACGAUGUCAACUAGUUGUUGGGGAUUCAUUUCCUUAGUAACGUAGCUAACGCGUGAAGUUGACCGCCUGGGGGAGUACGGUCGCAAGAUUAAAACUCAAAGGAAUUGACGGGGUCAUAGCUGUUUCCU
rnacentral:rRNA from 1 species